GCGAUUAAACAACAACAACAAACAUUAACUUACAAACUGUUAUUGGUCAACUCAGUUAAAUUGCACUGUCAAUAGUGAAAGUUAAUGUUUCAUAUUAUCUCACGUUAAGUGUUUUAUACAGUAAGUUUUGUGGGUAUAUAGAGAAUUAUAACUCGCAGACGGUUUACAUUUUGAAGAAUCUACAUGUGAACUAUAAUCGGACGUUGUGUGAAUGGCUACCAAGUUUACUGCAAGCCAGGAGCUAGACGUAUUUAAGGAAGAGAAAGAUGGUCUCUUACGAGAGGUUGGCAACCAGGCGGUGUGGUCUUUGUCCUCUUGCAAACCUGGUUUUGGUGUAGAACAGCUAAGGGACAGUUCUUUUGAGACGUACUGGCAAUCUGACGGCCCCCAGCCCCAUCUCGUGAACAUACAGUUCCGCAGGAAGACAACUAUACAAGAUGUGUGUAUCUAUACAGACUACAAGGCUGAUGAAAGCUACACACCAAACAAGAUCUCCAUACGAGCAGGCAGCCAUUUCAACGACUUAGUCGAGGUGGAACAGAUUGAGCUCAAUGAGCCCAUUGGCUGGAUAUGUGUCCCCCUGAAAGACCUCACGAGUGGCAAGCCAGUACGAGCCUUCAUGAUACAGAUUGCUGUGCUGUCCAACCAUCAGAACGGGCGCGACACUCACGUCCGCAGGAUCAAGAUCAGGGCACCUGUACAGACCUCCAAGCUUCCACUGUUCACCAGCAUAGACUUUAAUAUGAAAUCAAUUUUAAGAUAAUCCUUUUUCCGUUUUUGGAUCGAGUGGGAAAAUCUGGUAUCUUGAUCAUUUUUGUAUUAGAAACUUUAGGUUCAUAUUCAUACCUCAGCCUGCAUUCUGGGUAGUUAAGUGGAAGUAGCUAUCAGUGCACCAUUCUCUUGUAUUAGAAGUGUUUUCAUGUGUGGAUUCUAUGCCUGGGUGAAUCUCAAAUCAGAGCAUGUGAAAUACGUGUAGAAGGUGUGGUUAAACAUUUCAUCAGGUAUUAUUUAGUUUAAGUUAUUGUCUUGAGAUGACAAGCGUCCUAAAAAAGUUGUGGUUUAUGUCUUGUACUGCUGUUUAGGAUAUCUUGCUUUGAGCGAUUGAGAUCUUUUAAUUUACUUAAGGAUACACUGAAAUGUUCCUGGUAUUAUUUUGUGUACAUGAAUGUAACUCCUUUAUAGAGAAUAAGAUUGUAUUUUGGCUACUCAGUCUUUAUGUGCACUAUUGAUUUAAAACAAAAUUUGGAUUAAUGGGUAGCUGCAACCCCUUUAAAUAAAGUAGCUGUAUGGGCAUUGCCGUGGCGUAGAUGAUAUGGUGUCCGCCUAGCGACUGGGAGGUUAUGGGUUCGAUCCCCACAGUGGGAGCAUUCUUUAGAUCUUCCCCAUAGACACCAAGUACUGGUUCUAGGCCCAGGAACUAGACUCGAGAGCGUUUAAAAUUAGCCUUAGGCUUUCUAUGCAAUCAAUCUAAAAUAAAUAGGUUUAAACUUUAAACUAAAUGAAAGAUACCUUAAAAAUAAUGCUGAUACUGUUAUAAUGUUUUGUUAGUGUUGCUAUUAAAAUGAAGAUAUUUCUUUCCACAUAUGUGUUUUUAUAGAAGGUAUUAGGUAGACUUACAGGUGCAUGAAUAAGGCACCAUUUAAAAAGUGUGUGUUAACAAAUAACUGAAGGUUUCUGGUUCAUAUAAUUAUUUAUUUCAGCAAUAAAAUACAAUGUAACUGUUUUUUAUGUGUUCGUAUUUGGUAUUAAAUAUAUACUUACAAGUA